UACGUAGGGUGCAAGCGUUAAUCGGAAUUACUGGGCGUAAAGCGUGCGCAGGAGGUUUUGUAAGUCUGACGUGAAAUCCCCGGGCUCAACCUGGGAAUUGCGUUGGAGACUGCAAGGCUAGAAUCUGGCAGAGGGGGGUAGAAUUCCACGUGUAGCAGUGAAAUGCGUAGAGAUGUGGAGGAACACCGAUGGCGAAGGCAGCCCCCUGGGUCAAGAUUGACGCUCAUGCACGAAAGCGUGGGGAGCAAACAGG
rnacentral:rRNA from 1 species